GGUCCCGUAGCUCAGCAGGAUAGAGCAAUCGUUUCCUAAACGAUGGGUCGGGGGUUCAAGUCCCUUCGGGACCG
rnacentral:tRNA from 1 species